GCCCGCAUAGAUCAAUGCUAGAUCAUCUCUCCACAAUAUCAUCUCAUUGAGCUGAUACCGAGAAGACGGAGGUUCAAAUCCUCCUGCGGGCA